UACGAAGGGGACUAGCGUUGUUCGGAAUCACUGGGCGUAAAGCGCACGUAGGCGGAUUCGUAAGUCAGGGGUGAAAUCCCGGGGCUCAACCUCGGAACUGCCUUUGAUACUGCGGGUCUUGAGUCCGAUAGAGGUGGGUGGAAUUCCUAGUGUAGAGGUGAAAUUCGUAGAUAUUAGGAAGAACACCGGUGGCGAAGGCGGCCCACUGGAUCGGUACUGACGCUGAGGUGCGAAAGCUAGGGGAGCAAACAGG
rnacentral:rRNA from 1 species